rnacentral:piRNA from 1 species
AGAAACUGGAGUCAUACACUGAAGGUGGG